rnacentral:lncRNA from 1 species
CUAAAAGUUGGAUGUGAUUUUAAUGUCAAAGUUGAAACUUUUGUGACACGAAAAUCAAAAAUUUGCAUAUUUAAAUAGGAUAUGAACUAGAAACUUCACACUUUUAAAGGUUGAGGACCCAUAACUGUACCACCUGAAAGGUUGGGAACAGGUUUGACAAAGUUUGCCCCUAUUCCGAGUUCAGGUUUGUCUCUUCCCCAAUUGAUCCCCCGUUGCUCAUUCACUACCAAGCAACCUUCUCGUUUAUGCCCCAAACCAAACAGGUAAAAUUUAUACUACUAGUCCUUUUUUUAUUUUAUCUCUGUGGUACUGUUACACAAUGCUGUUCUAUACUGCAUUUUUGUUGUAAUCAACUUCAAUGUUCUAUGAUGAGGAAAUUUUUUAACCCAAUUCAGUUUGAUAGUUUUUCCUUUCUAAUUUGGCAAUAAUCAUGAAAACCCAUUUGAAUUUUGAUGCUUUUGUUUUGUGGGUUUAAUUUGAUGUUGGCAUAAUGAUUGAAUUUUAAGACGCUAAACCACCCAAUUGAGUUAAAUCAUUAUAUAGUUGAACUCUGUAUACAAGUGCGAAACGUCUAUUGAUAAAGGAUUUGGGUAUUUCACUGUCUAGGAUUGACACGAGUUUUGCAGGACUAAGUACCUCCGUCAUAUUGGUAUGACCCCUUUUUAAUUAUUGCGAGAAAUUGUUGUCAUAUACAAGUAUACUUGAAAAGGUAGAUUUAAUUUAUUUUCACUGUGAAUUAGAUGGAGUUUUAGACUUGGUUGGUUUUAGAAUUAUCUUGACUGCGCUUUUCUUUCUAUUUGUUAGGAGUUAGGUUUGGCAGAAGAGAAUACAGAAUAGAAUGGAAAGAAAGGCGGUAAAGUGCAAGAAGGUUAGGCAGAAGAGAAUACAGAAAAGAACGGUAUUAAUCCCUUCUCGAUUACUCAAAUCACUUUUUCUGUACAAGUUAGAUCAUGGAUAGCUACAAUGUGUGUCUUUUAAAGAUACUAGUGAGACGCACGUGCAAGACACGUGACACAACAUAAUUGACAAUGUAAUAGCUACUGCAGUUCAAAUGUGUCAAAUAUUGAUUUAUACAAUGCUCAAUAUUUGUCUGCAGUAAAGGAUAACAAAUUUUACCCCAACUGCAUAGUAGGGUUCAUUGACAUACCAGUCAACCAAUCCCUAUCCCAACUCUGAAAUUUCC